GUGAGGAAUUUUCCGCAAUGGGCGAAAGCCUGACGGAGCAAUGCCGCGUGAAGGAUGAAGGCCUAUGGGUUGUAAACUUCUUUUCUCAGAAAAGAAUUAUGACGGUAUCUGAGGAAUAAGCAUCGGCUAACUCUGUGCCAGCAGCCGCGGUAAGACAGAGGAUGCAAGCGUUAUCCGGAAUGAUUGGGCGUAAAGCGUCUGUAGGUUGUUUAAAAAGUAUUCUGUCAAAGAUUAGGGCUUAACCCUAGAUAGGCAGAAUAAACUUUUAAGAUAGAGUUUGGUAGAGGCAGAGGGAAUUCCCGGUGGAGCGGUGAAAUGCGUAGAUAUCGGGAGGAACACCAAAGGCGAAGGCACUCUGCUGGGCCAAUACUAACACUGAGAGACGAAAGCGAGGGGAGCAAAUGGGAUUAGAUACCCGUGUAGUCC
rnacentral:rRNA from 1 species